AUUGAAGAGAAGAAGCGUUACAUUGGUUAGCAGAACUAGAUAAAGAGGCCUGAAAAUAAUAAUGAUACUUAUCAAGUUGCUGCCCAGCAGGGGAAAUCCUAGAUUCGAUAAGACAGCCAAUAGGGCCACAACUACAGAGCAACGAAGACGGGAUUUCUCUGAUGCUGCAAUGGCAGAGGUUAUUUGAUUUGGAGUCACAGAACUACUUAUCCAUCGUUGUGGUUUUAAGUUUCGCUCUGUUCCUGAAGGAGACCUAGAUGGUUUGGCCAAAGAUGGUUCUACUUUACUGCUUGCUUCCGCAGCUGUAGCUAUUGGUGCUUCC